UGGACGAAAGUCUGAUGGAGCAACGCCGCGUGAGUGAAGAAGGGUUUCGGCUCGUAAAACUCUGUUGUUAAAGAAGAACAUAUCUGAGAGUAACUGUUCAGGUAUUGACGGUAUUUAACCAGAAAGCCACGGCUAACUACGUGCCAGCAGCCGCGGUAAUACGUAGGUGGCAAGCGUUGUCCGGAUUUAUUGGGCGUAAAGCGAGCGCAGGCGGUUUUUUAAGUCUGAUGUGAAAGCCUUCGGCUCAACCGAAGAAGUGCAUCGGAAACUGGGAAACUUGAGUGCAGAAGAGGACAGUGGAACUCCAUGUGUAGCGGUGAAAUGCGUAGAUAUAUGGAAGAACACCAGUGGCGAAGGCGGCUGUCUGGUCUGUAACUGACGCUGAGGCUCGAAAGUAUGGGUAGCAAACAGGAUUAGAUACCCUGGUAGUCCAUACCGUAAACGAUGAAUGCUAAGUGUUGGAGGGUUUCCGCCCUUCAGUGCUGCAGCUAACGCAUUAAGCAUUCCGCCUGGGGAGUACGGCCGCAAGGCUGAAACUCAAAGGAAUUGACGGGGGCCCGCACAAGCGGUGGAGCAUGUGGUUUAAUUCCAAGCUACGCG
rnacentral:rRNA from 2 species